rnacentral:rRNA from 1 species
GACGUAGGGCGCGAGCGUUGUCCGGAUUUAUUGGGCGUAAAGAGCUCGUAGGCGGCUUGUUGCGUCGACUGUGAAAACCCGCGGCUUAACCGCGGGCUUGCAGUUGAUACGGGCAGGCUAGAGUUCGGUAGGGGAGACUGGAAUUCCUGGUGUAGCGGUGAAAUGCGCAGAUAUCAGGAGGAACACCGGUGGCGAAGGCGGGUCUCUGGGCCGAUACUGACGCUGAGGAGCGAAAGCGUGGGGAGCAAACAGG